UUCCGGUUGAUCCUGCCGGACCCCACUGCUAUCGAGGUGAGACUUAGCCAGGCCAGUCGAACGACUCGGACUAUGGCGAGAAGUGGCAAACUGCUCAGUAACACGUAGCUAACCUACCCUCAGGACGGAGACAACCCCGGGAAACUGGGGUUAAUCCCUGAUAGGCGUGGAUUCCUGGAAUGGUGUCACGCCGAAACGUUAACACACCAUGUUUGUGUACACGCCUGAGGAUGGGGCUGCGGCCGAUCAGGCAGUUGGUGAGGUAACGGCUCACCAAACCUUUGACCGGUACGGGCCGUGAGAGCGGUAGCCCGGAGAUGGACACUGAGACAAGGGUCCAGGACCUACGGGUCGCAGCCGGUACGAAACCUCCACAAUGCACGCAAGUGCGAUGGGGUUACCUCGAGUGCCGCCUGAAGAAGGCGGCUUUUCCAUUGUGUAAUGAGCCGUGGGAAUAAGGGGGGGGCAAGACUGGUGUCAGCCGCCGCGGUAACACCAGCCCCCCGAGUGGUGGGGAUGUUUAUUUGGCCUAAAACGACCGUAGCCAGCUAGGUAAAUCUCUCGUUAAAUCCAGCGUCCUAAGCGUUGGGCUGCGAGAGAGACUGCCAAGCUAGAGGGUGGGAGAGGUCAGCGGUAUUUCUGGGGUAGGGGCGAAAUCCAUUGAUCCCAGGAGGACCACCAGUGGCGAAGGCUGCUGACUAGAACACGCCUGACGGUGAGGGACGAAAGCUGGGGUAGCGAAUCGGAUUAGAUACCCGAGUAGUCCCAGCCGUAAACGAUGCAGGCUAGGUGUUGGGUUGGCCACGUGCCGACUCAGUGCCACAGGGAAGCCAUUAAGCCUGCUGCCUGGGGAGUACGGUCGCAAGGCUGAAACUUAAAGGAAUUGGCGGGAGAGCACCACCAGGCGUGAAGCCUGCGGUUUAAUUGGAUUCAACGCCGGAAAUCACUAG
rnacentral:rRNA from 1 species